CUUCAUCUAUUGGAAGCCCACAUUCAAACCCAAAUUUGCUGUGAAUAGAAUCCUCGCUCAAGCCGACGGAGACUCAUCCUCUUCAUCUUCUUCAUCCUCCAUUGGAGUAACCUAACCGUUUCGAAAUCUUUGGACACACCUCCGUAACGUUGGCAUCACACCUCUAAGGGUCAUGAAGCCCCAUAAUUUGUGAUUCCCUCAGCCUUUCACCUUAUAUAUACCUUUAUCCCAAUCAAAGUUUUAAUUACUCAAUUCUUCAACAAUGUCUCUCUUGGAUUGGGGGAAGGCGGAGAUACGUUUCCGUUUAAUCCAUGUUUCGGAAGCAAGGAACACAACCGAAGUGGGAGUUCUAAUUGGGCUAGGACUGCUUUUGAUCUACGAGCAGGUGGGAACAUGGUGUCGUGAAGAGCCUCUAAAAGACGAGAUCCGUGCGAAGAGACGUUGUGCCCAGAAAUAUUGUCUCUUCUUCAGUGUUUAUUUGUCGAUGAUAAUCCAUCUGAGGGUUUACCUUCUUAAAAGGCAGCUGCGGUGGUGCUCACUCAGUAGUUUUCACACGCGAAGGUUAUGAGUGGACUUGGGAUCGUUCGUACCCUCCCGAUGACAUUUGGAGCAUUUCAUAAUCUGGCUCUUGAAGAAGAUGGGAGACAAUUAGCACAACCCCUCAUCAUUUCCCAGUCCAAGGCCUCGACCAUCUCAAUUAGCAAUCAGUAUGUGCUAGAUCCUCAUCAAGAAUAAUCGUCUGCUUAGUCUUCUAAUUUUAAGCUGUAUUGUUGGAGAAGAGGCAGCUCGGGUUAGGUGAUAAUGACAAGAACACCAAAAUAGUUCUAGAGAAAGUUGAUCUUCUAGAUGACAAAAAAUAUCGUUCAUGUUGUAUAUCAAACUUUACUGAUCUUGAGAUGUCUAACAGAGGACAUCAUUCAUGUAAAGAAGUAUUAAACUUUAAUGAUCAACUAGAUUUUGACCCGCACGCCCGUGCGGGUGUA